GUGGGCGACUAGAGAAAAUAAGUAUCUUUGAAGAUUCUAAAGUCCUAGAUAUCUACAAACGCAAGAUAUCUAAAGAGCACCGACCGUGCAACCAGAAGACCUGGGGUUUCUGUCCUAGGUGGAUUACUUCAGCUCUCCCUCGGCACACUAGAACCAACUUAAACCAGUUUGCGAGAAAGCUGAUUGUUAAAAAUGUUGCAGUUCGAGCAUUAACAUUUACACCUCUGCAAAUUCUGCUGGAUUUAUCGUUUUGUUCUUUGCUUAAGCUUAAGAAACUGAUGAGGGGGAAAGGAGGUUGUAAAAAAAUGCCGAUUACACUUAAAAGCAUGUUGCAGUACACAUUUUUUUUCUCCCGGAGAGCAGGCCGUUAAACAUAAACAGCACAACCCUGGUUCUCUCUGACCCUUGGCUCUCUCACUCGUAAACUAGGGGAUAACCCACUUAUCACCUAUGGAGAUCAAUCGACACAAUGUAUUUUUAGAGCACUUGCUCUCUAAAACGUGACCGAACACAUAUCUAGGUGACUAAAAACCACUGCAGUCGAAAUCUGCCUAGGAAGAUUGCAAAGCUUCCUGUCCUUAAAAAAAAGAAAGGAAAAAAGUCACUUUUCUAAAGAAAGGCAGCGUCCUCCUUGACUAGGAUUCCCUGCAGUCCAUGAAUGAGGGAUCACAACAAACCCGCUUCGGGGGACAAAGCGUGAAGCGCCUGCUCUUCUUUUAAUCAACGUUCUACUUUUCGGCCUAGAGGAGCCAACUCGUGACGAGCACAGACUACAAACGAAGCGAGUGAAGAAAGAGCUCGGUUCCGCCAUCCGGCUCCCACACACCUCCCUCUUUCCUUUCCCUGGAAAGCGCUCCCCGCCCCUUGGAUGCCUCCCUUCUGCUCCCAGAACGCGUUUCCCCCUUCGCCGGGACGCGCCCGCCAGCGUCGUACCACGUGACGGCGUCGGCGACGGGCGAAGGGGGCAGGGGGGCCUCUCCCUCCCUCAGUCCCUCCCUCCCGGCCGGCUCCGCAGCGUCGCGCAGGCGCCCCGGGGGCCGCGCCGAGUGAGCCACUCCUGCUCUCUCUCGAGGAGUCAAAAUGGCGCCGAGGGGAACCCGAAGCAGUCGUGGAUCCCGAACCUCUUCUAGCCCUUUACCCUCCUGUAAUACUGUAACCAUAAUUUGACCCCAGAUGCAGGUACUUGCAACUUUAUGCAUUUUUCCAGCAAAUGUUCAUAUUUUCUCUCAAGUGCAAUUUUAAACAUGCUUUUGUAAAAAUGAAUGUAAU
rnacentral:lncRNA from 1 species